UACGAAGGUGGCAAGCGUUGUUCGGAAUCACUGGGCUUAAAGCGCAUGUAGGCGGCCGUGUAAGCGUCUUGUGAAAUCCCUCGGCUCAACCGAGGAAUUGCUGGGCGAACUGCACGGCUUGAGGCAGGUAGGGGUGCGUGGAACUCUUGGUGGAGCGGUGAAAUGCGUAGAUAUCAAGAGGAACGCCGGAGGCGAAAGCGGCGCACUGGGCCUGCCCUGACGCUGAGAUGCGAAAGCUAGGGGAGCAAACGGG
rnacentral:rRNA from 1 species